rnacentral:tRNA from 1 species
UGGCUCAGAGGUUAAAGCGUCUGCCUGGAAUGCAGGAGACCAGGGUUUGAUCCCUG